rnacentral:rRNA from 1 species
UUAAAGUUGUUGCAGUUAAAAAGCUCGUAGUUGAACCUUGGGCCUGGCUGGCCGGUCCGCCUCACCGCGUGCGCUGGUCCGGCCGGGCCUUUCCUCCUGGGAGCCGCAUGCCCUUCACUGGGUGUGUCGGGGAACCAGGACUUUUACUUUGAAAAAAUUAGAGUGUUCAAAGCAGGCCUAUGCUCGAAUACAUUAGCAUGGAAUAAUA